AAAAGAAACCAACAGGGAUUGCCUUAGUAGCGGCGAGUGAAGCGGCAAAAGCUCAAAUUUGAAAUCUGGCUCUUUCAGAGUCCGAGUUGUAAUUUGAAGAAGGUAUCUUUGGGUCUGGCUCUUGUCUAUGUUUCUUGGAACAGAACGUCACAGAGGGUGAGAAUCCCGUGCGAUGAGAUGAUCCAGGCCUAUGUAAAGUUCCUUCGAAGAGUCGAGUUGUUUGGGAAUGCAGCUCUAAGUGGGUGGUAAAUUCCAUCUAAAGCUAAAUAUUGGCGAGAGACCGAUAGCGAACAAGUACAGUGAUGGAAAGAUGAAAAGAACUUUGAAAAGAGAGUGAAAAAGUACGUGAAAUUGUUGAAAGGGAAGGGCUUGAGAUCAGACUUGGUAUUUUGUAUGUUACUUCUUCGGGGGUGGCCUCUACAGUUUAUCGGGCCAGCAUCAGUUUGGGCGGUAGGAGAAUUGCGUUGGAAUGUGGCACGGCUUCGGUUGUGUGUUAUAGCCUUCGUCGAUACUGCCAGCCUAGACUGAGGACUGCGGUUUAUACCUAGGAUGUUGGCAUAAUGAUCUUAAGUCGCCCGUCUUGAAA
rnacentral:rRNA from 1 species